ensembl:lncRNA
AAUUAGUUCAUUCGCAUCCAGGAACACACACAAAGAUUAAAAAGAAUCAGGAAUCUUUAUUAGUGUAAACCCUGAUGCCUCACAUCUCAACUCGGUUGAACUGCUGAAAAGUUCUCAGACUGCAAAUCCUCCAUUUCCUCCAUUCUGACGCUGGAUUGAAGCAGUACUUGGACCAUGAUAUCUGAUCAUGUUUGCCAGUUGGUUAUAGGUGGCGUUCGGUCAGUGUGAUGCCGUUUCCGCCCUGCGGGCCACACAUCCCGCCUACGCGCCCACCGAUGGAAAGCCUUCGGGUCCCUCUUUGUCUCUGACUGCCACUUCCUUCCUCGCUGCCCGCCUUCCUCUCCUCCGCUCCCCGGCCGGCCUGGUUGUGUCCUGAGCCCAGAGACGGCUGGCCUGCGGGUGUUGUGAGGCCCCCGCUGAGCAUCCACACAACCUCCUUUCUUCUCGUGCCUCCCUCAGAUCGUCUCUGUCUCCAUCCUCCUCUUUGUUUUGAAACCACGGUUUCAGAGACAGCGCAACAAUAGGCGGCAUCGCGUGACGAGUGCUCUGCUUUCUCUCCGAGCACUUCUCCAACAGUGUUACGCAAAGCGCACACACACACACACACACACACACACACACACACACACCGAGGAGGACCGAUACCAUCACGCUUUAAUGAUAAUGCAUCCAAUUAGCCGGGAAGUGGGAGCAGAAUGGGGAAGAAAACAUCAAUAUAAGGUCUGCCAAUUUUAUUUGUAUUUUCUCCGAUGAGGCCACAUUUGAAUACUUUUGUAGACAUGAAGAGAAAAUAAUUAGACAUUUCAACGUCCUUCAAGACAAGUCCAAAAGAAACAUUCUGUGUUCCAGAGUUGAUAUUCCCCACAGAAGCUUAGUCCUUAGUUUAAAUAACACUUAAAAGUACAGAACCCGGCUGUAUUACGAAAUAUUUUGCUCCUUAAACCAUAAAUGAACACACUAAAUAAUACCAAUACUAUUUAAUUAACGCCAUUUAACACAGAAAACCUUCCUAUUGAUCUCAUGACGUCCUCUCUGUACACGCAUGAAGUUAAUUUAAAUAAAUAAUACAACUUUUCAC